rnacentral:misc_RNA from 1 species
AUUGUGGAACAACAUAAUCAACUUUUGGUAGUCGAAGCCGGCUGAAUGUCAAGAUGCCUCUUCGACUUGAUAUCAAGCGGAAAUUAUCAGCACGGUCCGAUCGAGUUAAGAGUGUAGAUUUACAUCCCACAGAACCAUGGAUGUUGGCAAGUUUAUACAAUGGGAAUGUCCAUGUGUGGAAUCAUGAGUCCCAGCAACUUAUCAAAUCGUUUGAGGUUUGCGAUUUACCUGUAAGAUGUUCCAGAUUUGUUCCCAGAAAAAACUGGGUCAUCACCGGCUCAAUUACAUCAGAAGCAUUGCUGUCCACCCCACCCAGCCAUUCAUCCUCAGCAGCAGUGAUGACAUGCUGAUCAAGCUGUGGGACUGGGACAAGAAGUGGGCCUGUAACCAGGUGUUUGAGGGACACUCCCACUAUGUCAUGCAGAUCGUCAUCAACCCCAAAGACAAUAACACCUUCGCCAGUGCCUCACUGGACCGAACAGUCAAGGUUUGGAAUCUGGGAUCAAACACACCUAAUUUUACUCUGGAGGGACAUGAAAAGGGAGUGAAUUGUGUAGACUACUAUUCAGGGGGAGACAAACCUUACUUGAUCUCUGGAGCUGAUGACAGACUUAUCAAAAUCUGGGAUUACCAGAACAAGACCUGUGUGCAGACUUUGGAGGGACACGCCCAGAACAUCUCAGCUGUGGCUUUCCACCCUGAGCUCCCCAUCAUAAUGACCGGCUCAGAGGAUGGUACAGUAAGAAUCUGGCAUGCCAACACAUACCGACUGGAAAGCACGCUGAAUUAUGGGCUGGAAAGGGUGUGGGCCAUUGCUGCCCAGAAAGGCUCCAAUAAUGUUGCUCUGGGUUAUGAUGAAGGAAGCAUCAUUAUUAAGCUUGGCCGAGAGGAACCAGCCAUGUCAAUGGACAGCAGUGGAAAGAUCAUCUGGGCCAAACACUCGGAGAUACAGCAGGCCAACAUCAAGGCUAUUGGAGACCAGGACGUGAAGGAUGGAGAGAGGCUCCCUCUGGCGGUGAAGGACAUGGGCAGCUGUGAGAUCUACCCCCAGACAGUUGCCCACAACCCCAAUGGCAGGUUUGUGGUGGUGUGUGGGGAUGGCGAGUACAUCAUCUACACGGCCAUGGCUCUCAGGAACAAGAGUUUUGGCUCUGCCCAGGAGUUUGUUUGGGGCAGUGAUUCUUCAGUGUACGCCACCAGAGAAUCCACCAGUUCAGUUAAAAUCUUCAAAAACUUCAAGGAACAAAAGGCAUUCAAACCAGAAUUUGGGGCUGAAGGUAUAUAUGGAGGAUUCCUAUUGGGCACACGGUCAGUGAGUGGCCUGGCAUUUUAUGACUGGGAAUCCACAGAGCUCAUACGACGAAUAGAAAUAACACCAAAAAACGUGUACUGGAGUGAGAAUGGAGAGCUGUGUUGUAUCACUACAGACGAGUCGUUCUUUGUCCUAAAAUACAACCCGGAGGCCGUGGAAAAAGCCCAGGGCAAUAGGGAAGAGAUCGGAGAGGACGGGAUUGAGGAAGCGUUUGAUGUGGUGGGAGAGAUUGAUGAGACGGUGAAGACUGGUGUGUGGGUGGGAGACUGCUUCAUCUACACCAAUAGUGUCAACCGGCUCAACUACUACGUGGGCGGGGAAAUCGUCACAAUAGCUCACCUGGAUAGAAUGAUGUAUUUGCUUGGUUACAUUCCAAAAGACAAUCGCCUGUACCUCGGAGACAAGGAACUCAACAUUGUCAGUUUCUCACUCCUCGUCUCGGUGCUGGAGUACCAGACAGCUGUCAUGAGAAGAGACUUUGAAACCGCAGAUAAAAUAUUACCAAUGAUUUCUAAAGAACACAGAUCAAGGGUUGCCCAUUUCCUGGAGAAACAGGGCUUUAAAUCCCAAGCGUUAGCUGUGACAUGUGACCCAGAACACAAGUUUGAGCUGGCCAUACAAUUAGGAGAUCUUAAAACCUGCUAUCAGAUCGCCAAAGAAGCAGAGUCAGAGCAGAAGUGGAAGCAGCUUGCAGAGCUUGCGAUCAGCAAGUGUGAGUUUGGUCUUGCCCAGGAGUGCCUCCAUCAAGCCAGUGACUUUGGGGGUCUCCUGCUGCUGGCCAGCUCUGCUGGGAACGCCCAGAUGGUGGCCAAGCUCGGGGACACGGCUCAAAAAGCCGGCCAGAACAACGUCGCCUUCGUCUCACACUUUGUCCUUGGAAGACUAGAGGAGUGCCUGGAGGUGUUAAUUAACACAGGACGUCUUCCGGAGGCCGCCUUCUUCGCCAGAACAUACCUUCCUAGUCAAGUCUCAAGAGUGGUGGAGUUGUGGAGAGAGCAUUUAGCAAAAGUCAACAAGAAGGCCGCCAACUCUUUGGCUGAGCCCCAGGAAUAUGAGAACUUGUUCCCAGACUGGAAGAAUGCCCUCAAGACCGAGGCUUAUCUCAAACCACAGAGGCAGCGUGCAAUCCCGGCGGACAAAUUCCCACGUGUCCCACCAAAUCACGAGAGGGUCCCUGUGGAUGAGAUGCAGCAGGCCGAGGAGCAGGGCUCGUUCACAUUCGUCCGCGGACCAGGCGAUGAUGAUGAUGAUGAUGCAGGGGACGACUUUGAACAGGCCCCCGACACGACUGAACAAAGUGUCAGGGCGCCCUCUCCCCUACCACAGAAGAAGGAAACGGCACCCCCAGAUCCUGCCCCGAGUAAAACAGAAAUGGAUGACAUAGAGAAGGAGUUGGAGUUAGAUCUAGAAAACAUGAACAUUGACAAUGUGGACACCUCAGACAUUAAUUUGGAUGAGGAGGACCUUUUGGAAGAUUAAAUCUUCUGUGUGUGUAUUCAUUUUAUUCUUGAGGACCCGAUUCAAGCUGUGAUUUGUGGAACUAUUUUCACUGGGUAGAACCAGUGACCAACAAACCUUCACCCCGUGUAAGACUGUUUUAUUUCACUAAAACAGCUCCCCACCCCCUGCUGAGAGGGGGAGGGGUUUCAAAUGGAAGCGUCCUCCCUCACGGUUUCAUUAUUCCUAUUGUGUUGUAACAUGGACAUCUUUUAUUAGCUGAUGGAAGAAAGUUAAGAAGGAGGAUUCAUUAUAUUAAGAAUGAAAGGUCAUUCAACCAUGAAAUAUUGUGACUUAUUAAAUUAUGGUGUAUUGUUUUAAGUAUAGGGAAGUGCUCCAAUGUGUACUAAAUUUAUAUUUAUUUCAAAGAUUUGUCUUUGAAAGAAAAAAUAAAAGCUUAUGAUUAU